rnacentral:rRNA from 1 species
GACGAACGCUGGCGGCGUGCUUAACACAUGCAAGUCGAACGGAAAGGCCCUGCUUUUGUGGGGUGCUCGAGUGGCGAACGGGUGAGUAACACGUGAGUAACCUGCCCUUGACUUUGGGAUAACUUCAGGAAACUGGGGCUAAUACCGGAUAGGAGCUCCUGCUGCAUGGUGGGGGUUGGAAAGUUUCGGCGGUUGGGGAUGGACUCGCGGCUUAUCAGCUUGUUGGUGGGGUAGUGGCUUACCAAGGCUUUGACGGGUAGCCGGCCUGAGAGGGUGACCGGCCACAUUGGGACUGAGAUACGGCCCAGACUCCUACGGGAGGCAGCAGUGGGGAAUAUUGCACAAUGGGCGGAAGCCUGAUGCAGCAACGCCGCGUGCGGGAUGACGGCCUUCGGGUUGUAAACCGCUUUCGCCUGUGACGAAGCAUGAGUGACGGUAAUGGGUAAAGAAGCACCGGCUAGCUACGUG